UCUAUAUCGACCGACACCCUUUCGGGGAUCUAAUGGGCGAAGCGUAGGGCACCUUAGCCGGACAUUCGGUUCAUCCCACAUCACCAGUUCUGCUUACCAAAAGUGGCCCACUUGGCACCGUGCAUUCGUCGCAAGAAUCAAAAUAA